AAUAGUUACAAUCCAUUCCCGAAAGGAUUCGUUUUAAACGAAGAUGCCUUGUAACCAAAUUACUUAUAAUAAUGGGGGAAUUAAAU
rnacentral:sRNA from 17 species